rnacentral:rRNA from 1 species
AACGAACGCUGGCGGCAGGCUUAACACAUGCAAGUCGAACGCACUCUUCGGAGUGAGUGGCAGACGGGUGAGUAACGCGUGGGAAUCUACCCAGCCCUUCGGAAUAGACUCCGGGAAACUGGAAUUAAUACCGAGUACGCCUACGGGGAAAGAUUUAUCGGGUUGGAUGAGCCCGCGUUGGAUUAGCUAGUUGGUGGGGUAAUGGCCUACCAAGGCGACGAGUCCAUAGCUGGUCUGAGAGGAUGAUCAGCCACACUGGGACUGAGACACGG